GAUGAACGCUGGCGGCGUGCCUAAUACAUGCAAGUCGAGCGAGUGGAUUGAGAGCUUGCUCUUAUGAAGUUAGCGGCGGACGGGUGAGUAACACGUGGGUAACCUGCCCAUAAGACUGGGAUAACUCCGGGAAACCGGGGCUAAUACCGGAUAACAUUUUGAACCGCAUGGUUCGAAAUUGAAAGGCGGCUUCGGCUGUCACUUAUGGAUGGACCGGCGUCGCAUUAGCUAGUUGGUGAGGUAACGGCUCACCAAGGCAACGAUGCGUAGCCGACCUGAGAGGGUGAUCGGCCACACUGGGACUGAGACACGGCCCAGACUCCUACGGGAGGCAGCAGUAGGGAAUCUUCCGCAAUGGACGAAAGUCUGACGGAGCAACGCCGCGUGAGUGAUGAAGGCUUUCGGGUCGUAAAACUCUGUUGUUAGGGAAGAACAAGUGCUAGUUGAAUAAGCUGGCACCUUGACGGUACCUAACCAGAAAGCCACGGCUAACUACGUGCCAGCCGCCGCGGUAA
rnacentral:rRNA from 1 species